ACUCCUACGGGAGGCAGCAGUGGGGAAUCUUAGACAAUGGGGGAAACCCGUAGCAUCUAGCCAUGCCGCGUGAGUGAUGAAGGCCUUAGGGUCGUAAAGCUCUUUCGCCAGGGAUGAUAAUGACAGUACCUGGUAAAGAAACCCGCGUACAUCCGUGCCAGCAGCCGCGGUAAUACGGAGGGGGUUAGCGUUGUUCGGAAUUACUGGGCGUAAAGCGCGCGUAGGCGGA
rnacentral:rRNA from 1 species